rnacentral:lncRNA from 1 species
AUUAGUGACAACACUGAAUACUUAACCUGCUCCACUACUAGGGAAUGCCAAUCACUUCUUACUGAACUUUGCUCUUUGUCUACAGCUAUCCUGUACAUAUAUGUUCAGAACCCUAAGAAAGAGUUGUUCUGAAAGCCUAGCGAUGAUGAUGACUGUGGUUGGGCUGGCCAGUCUUAUCACUUCCGUGUACAUGUUUGGUACAUUGCCAGGCAUCAUGCUUGAGAGGGUGGUAGGGUUCUGGUGGUGGACUUCUGAGAAUUGGAUUCCCAGCUCUAUCACUUUGCUCUGGGAUCCUGAAUACUUGAGCUUCCGAAACCCUGUUUCACCAUUGGGAAAAUUAGGGUGAUAGACCUGCUUUUCUACCGCUCUUUCCAGAGGAUCAAAUAAUGGUUCAGUGUACAAAAGGCCUGUGCAUAUGGCAGAGGGCACUCCAAAGGAGAGCUAUUGUCUCAGUCAGGGUAGGCUGGGUUAUGCUGCAGUAACAAAUAGCCCAUAACUCCAGCAUUCUAUGGCUUAAAGCAACAAAGGGGUACUCUUGCUAUAGGUCAGCCUAGGGGGCACUAUGCUCAUUGGGGUCAGAGUGGGACGCUGGCUGGUGGAACAGCCAUCAACCACCAUCAGAGAGAAAAAGGCAAUGACUCCUAAUGCUACUGCGUCAAGUUCAUUAGCCCAAGAAAGUCACAUGGCCAGAUCAACUUCAACUAGGUGGGGAAGUGCGAUCCUACUCUGUGUCAGAAGGAUAGCCACCUCAGAUAUUUUUUCACACUCCUAAGGCAAGCACAGUUGCUGCUCUACAAUUCUGGAUAAGAUGUGGUCUCUGCCCUCAAGGAACUUACCCUGAACUUACCUCCAGACCAAGCCCUGUAGGCACCAGAAACGUCUCCAGAACAGCGCAUGCGCCUUCUGCCCUGGCUAGUCCCCUCUCAGGAAUGCCUUUGCUAAAGGCAGCUAGAACACCCACCUGCUUCCUCGGCUUCCGCCACACUUGUAAAAUAACCCCAAGGCCUCUCUCUCGGAGCUAGUGUCCUGCCUUUGUGCUUCACCUAGACUGCGCAGAGAGGUGCCCAGGCGGCACACCCCUCGUGAUGACCUCCCCUGGCUGUAGCUAAUUGCACCAGGCUUGACUGCUGCUGGGAAGCACAGCCCUUCACCUGCCUCCAGCCCUUCCUGUGCCUGCUGCCUGCUGACCUUCCUUUACCCCAAGCUCGGCUCUGUCAUUCUGCCUUUGGGGAAGAAACCAGCAAACCUAGGACAGGCAUUGCCACACCCACCCUCUCUUAGAACCAUUUUCUUGCCCUCUUGCCACAGCACAGGCAUUUCCGACAUCCCCUUCUCCAUCAUCCAGAGAUGCCUGUCAUGGCCUGAGAUUCAGCAAAGUUUUCCAUCUUUCCUCAUGGGUCACGCGUCUUCUCCUUGGACACUUCCAGUUGGGACCCAGAAAGAAAACAAAAGAGUUUACCAUAAUAUUCUUAGUAAUAACAACACAUAUAAUAGGUUACCAUGUGCCAUGCUCUGAGGACAUAACAAAUAUUAUCUCAUUAAAUGUUUGCAGCAAACCUAGGAAAUAAGGAUUAUUAAGAGUCUCACUUUGGGAGUUCCCGUCGUGGCGCAUGGUUAACGAAUCCGACUAGGAACCAUGAGGUUACGGGUUCGGUCCCUGCCCUUGCUCAGUGGGAUAACGAUCCAGCGUUGCCGUGAGCUGUGGUGUAGGUUGCAGACAUGGCUCGGAUCCCGCGUUGAUGUGGCUCUGGCGUAGGCCUGUGGCUACAGCUCCGAUUCGACCCCUAGCCUGGGAACCUCCAUAUGCCCGCGGGAGCAGCCCAAGAAAUAGCAAAAAAGAAACGACAAAAAAAAAAAAAAAAA